GCUUGUAGCUCAGUGGACUAGAGCACGUGGCUACGAACUACGGUGUCGGGGGUUCGAAUC
rnacentral:tRNA from 13 species